GCUGGGCAUGAUGGCUCAUGCCUGUAGUCCUAACUACUCAGGAAGCUGAGGUGGGAGGAUCAUUUGAGCCCAGGAGGUUGAGGCUGCAGUGAGCCAUGAUUGCACCACUGCACUCCAGCUAGGGCAACAGAGUGAGACCCCAUCUCAA
rnacentral:SRP_RNA from 1 species